UACGGAGGGAGCUAGCGUUGUUCGGAAUUACUGGGCGUAAAGCGCACGUAGGCGGCUUUGUAAGUUAGAGGUGAAAGCCUGGAGCUCAACUCCAGAACUGCCUUUAAGACUGCAUCGCUUGAAUCCAGGAGAGGUGAGUGGAAUUCCGAGUGUAGAGGUGAAAUUCGUAGAUAUUCGGAAGAACACCAGUGGCGAAGGCGGCUCACUGGACUGGUAUUGACGCUGAGGUACGAAAAGCGUGGGGGAGCAAACAGG
rnacentral:rRNA from 1 species